UAGGGAAUCUUCCGCAAUGGACGCAAGUCUGACGGAGCAACGCCGCGUGAGUGAAGAAGGAUUUCGGUUCGUAAAACUCUGUUGUUAGAGAAGAACAGCGCAUAGAGUAACUGUUAUGCGUGUGACGGUAUCUAACCAGAAAGCCACGGCUAACUACGUGCCAGCAGCCGCGGUAAUACGUAGGUGGCAAGCGUUGUCCGGAUUUAUUGGGCGUAAAGCGAGCGCAGGCGGUCAAUUAAGUCUGAUGUGAAAGCCCCCGGCUCAACCGGGGAGGGUCAUUGGAAACUGGUUGACUUGAGUGCAGAAGAGGAGAGUGGAAUUCCAUGUGUAGCGGAGAAAUGCGUAGAUAUAUGGAGGAACACCAGUGGCGAAGGCGACUCUCUGGUCUGUAACUGACGCUGAGGCUCGAAAGCGUGGGUAGCAAACAGG
rnacentral:rRNA from 1 species